UUAUUUAUUCUGAACUUAGGAAAAGAUCACACAAAGCUCACGUAAAGAUCUUUUCCUAAGUUCAGAAUGCUUAGCAUCCAUGCUUUGGGUUUUUGCUUUAGUAUCUUGGAAUUACAAAUACAGUAUAUAGAGCUAAGUAAUUCUCCCAUCCAGGAAUGGAGAACUGAAGCACUGGCCAAGAGGACGACAUCUCCCAGAAUUUCUAAAUAAGAAUCACAGAAAGUUCUGAUUCAGUUGGUAUGUGGUCAUAUGCAAACGGCCCAAGUGAGUCUUAUCAAAGAAAUUUGGCCAACACUGCCAGAGAUUCCCAGAUUUUAAGUAUUCCCCCAUUGUGCUCUAAAUGCAAGGUGUGGUGAGAGGGCCUGUGCUCCAAAGAAGGAGUUCAAGCUACUAGUGAGUCUGUUUAUUCAAAAGCACUUAAGCACUACUGAGCAGGAGGUCACAACAGAAGAUUUGGUCUUGUCCUCUGCCCAUAAGGAACUUGCUAUAUAAUGAACUGUAAAACCCAUACUUUAUCAUAUCUCCUGGAAUUGCCUGGAAUUUUAAAUUGUCAAGCAAGUAAUGGACCUCAAAAGUUGGUCUAGUAGAGCAUGGUUGUCAAAAUAUAGUCCCAGCGGUAUCAGCACCAAAUAGUUAGGAAUGCAAACAAUCAGACCUUAACCCAGGUGAUUAAUAAGCCCCCGGGUGAUUCUGAUGUUCUCUCAAGUUUGGGAACCACUGGCCAAGCAAAAGGAAUCUCCUUCAGCAGUUUCUCCACCUCCGUCGCUGAAUACUUCCAAUACUUUGCUUCCCUCCCAGUCCAUUAAUCUCUCCCCCGCCACCCUAUAUCCGAUCAAUCAGAUUCACAAAAAUAAGCUACACAUUUCAAAAAGAACAUAAAACUUUAUUAAGAACAUUUUAUAUUGUCAUCAGAUAAAGCCAAACAAAUAGGGGUAAAGAAACAGGGAAACUUCAUCUUCCCAUGUGCUAUUGCCACGUCAGAACACUCAUAUGUGCGGCAACCCACUUGGGUCCCCUCCCAAUAAACUUUGCAUUCGCUUAUAUAAAAAAAA